UGAGUAUUAGGCAAAUCCGGUACUCGUUAAGGCUGAGCUGUGAUGGGGAGAAGACAUUGUGUCUUCGAGUCGUUGAUUUCACACUGCCGAGAAAAACCUCUAGAUAGAAAAUAGGUGCCCGUACCGCAAACCGACACAGGUAGUCAAGAUGAGAAUUCUAAGGUGAGCGAGCGAACUCUCGUUAAGGAACUCGGCAAAAUGACCCCGUAACUUCGGGAGAAGGGGUGCUCUUUAGGGUUAACGCCCAGAAGAGCCGCAGUGAAUAGGCCCAAGCGACUGUUUAUCAAAAACACAGGUCUCUGCUAAACCGUAAGGUGAUGUAUAGGGGCUGACGCCUGCCCGGUGCUGGAAGGUUAAGAGGAGUGGUUAGCUUCUGCGAAGCUACGAAUCGAAGCCCCAGUAAACGGCGGCCGUAACUAUAACGGUCCUAAGGUAGCGAAAUUCCUUGUCGGGUAAGUUCCGACCCGCACGAAAGGCGUAACGAUUUGGGCACUGUCUCAACGAGAGACUCGGUGAAAUCAUAGUACCUGUGAAGAUGCAGGUUACCCGCGACAGGACGGAAAGACCCCGUGGAGCUUUACUGUAGCCUGAUAUUGAAAUUCGGCACAGCUUGUACAGGAUAGGUAGGAGCCUUUGAAACGUGAGCGCUAGCUUACGUGGAGGCGCUGGUGGGAUACUACCCUAGCUGUGUUGGCUUUCUAACCCGCACCACUUAUCGUGGUGGGAGACAGUGUCAGGCGGGCAGUUUGACUGGGGCGGUCGCCUCCUAAAAGGUAACGGAGGCGCUCAAAGGUUCCCUCAGAAUGGUUGGAAAUCAUUCAUAGAGUGUAAAGGCAUAAGGGAGCUUGACUGCGAGACCUACAAGUCGAGCAGGGUCGAAAGACGGACUUAGUGAUCCGGUGGUUCCGCAUGGAAGGGCCAUCGCUCAACGGAUAAAAGCUACCCCGGGGAUAACAGGCUUAUCUCCCCCAAGAGUUCACAUCGACGGGGAGGUUUGGCACCUCGAUGUCGGCUCAUCGCAUCCUGGGGCUGUAGUCGGUCCCAAGGGUUGGGCUGUUCGCCCAUUAAAGCGGUACGCGAGCUGGGUUCAGAACGUCGUGAGACAGUUCGGUCCCUAUCCGUCGUGGGCGUAGGAAAUUUGAGAGGAGCUGUCCUUAGUACGAGAGGACCGGGAUGGACAUACCUCUGGUGUACCAGUUGUCGUGCCAACGGCAUAGCUGGGUAGCUAUGUGUGGACGGGAUAAGUGCUGAAAGCAUCUAAGCAUGAAGCCCCCCUCAAGAUGAGAUUUCCCAACUUCGGUUAUAAGAUCCCUCAAAGAUGAUGAGGUUAAUAGGUUCGAGGUGGAAGCAUGGUGACAUGUGGAGCUGACGAAUACUAAUCGAUCGAAGACUUAAUC
rnacentral:rRNA from 1 species